rnacentral:snoRNA from 1 species
AUGACGAAAACUUACCACUCAGAAAAGUGAUGAGGGGGUCAGGGACGGA